GAUGAACGCUGGCGGCGUGCCUAAUACAUGCCAGUCGAGCGAACAGACGAGGAGCUUGCUCCUCUGACGUUAGCGGCGGACGGGUGAGUAACACGUGGAUAACCUACCUAUAAGACUGGGAUAACUUCGGGAAACCGGAGCUAAUACCGGAUAACAUGUUGAACCGCAUGGUUUAACAGUGAAAGACGGUCUUGCUGUCACUUAUAGAUGGAUCCGCGCCGCAUUAGCUAGUUGGUAAGGUAACGGCUUACCAAGGCAACGAUGCGUAGCCGACCUGAGAGGGUGAUCGGCCACACUGGAACUGAGACACGGUCCAGACUCCUACGGGAGGCAGCAGUAGGGAAUCUUCCGCAAUGGGCGAAAGCCUGACGGAGCAACGCCGCGUGAGUGAAGAAGGUCUUCGGAUCGUAAAACCCUGUUAUUAGGGAAGAACAAAUGUGUAAGUAACUAUGCACGUCUUGACGGUACCUAAUCAGAAAGCCACGGCUAACUACGUG
rnacentral:rRNA from 1 species